AUUGAACGCUGGCGGCAGGCCUAACACAUGCAAGUCGAGCGAGCGGCGGACGGGUGAGUAAUGUAUGGGGACUGCCCGAUAGAGGGGGAUAACUACUGGAAACGGUAGCUAAUACCGCAUACUAAGGGAUAACCCAUGUGGGAUUAGCUAGUAGUUGAGGUAAUGGCCUACCUAGGCGACGAUCCCUAGCGGGUCGGCGAGGAUGAUCAGCCACACUGGGACUGAGACACGGCCCAGACUCCUACGGAGGCAGCAGGGGGGAAUAUUGCACAAUGGGCGCAAGCCUGAUGCAGCCAUGCCGCGUGUAUGAAGAAGGCCCUAGGGUUGUAAAGUACUUUCAGUCGGGAGGCGUUACCGACAGAAGAAGCACCGGCUAACUCCGUGCCAGCAGCCGCGGUAAUAC
rnacentral:rRNA from 1 species